AUUGAACGCUGGCGGCAUGCUUUACACAUGCAAGUCGAACGGCAGCGCGGUGUUCGGCCUGGCGGCUAGUGGCGAAAGGGUGAGUAAUGCAUCGGAACGUGCCCAGUAGUGGGGGAUAGCCCGGCGAGAGACGGAUUAAUAAUGCAUACGACCUGCGGGUGAAAGCUGGGGACCGAAAGAACUUUCCCUCUUGGAGCGGUGGAUGUCGGAUUAGCUAGUUGGUUGGGUAAAGGCUUACCUAGGCGACGAUCAGUAGGUGGUCGGAUAGGAUGAGAAGCCACAUGGGAACGGGAGCACGGCCCAUAGGACUGCGGGAGGCAGCAGUGGGGAAUGGUGGACAAAGGGGGCAAAUCUUAUCCAACGAUGCGGAGUGGGAGACGAAGGCGUUGGGGUUGUAAACCGCUUUUGUGGGGUAUGAAACGCUUUGGGCUAAUACCAAGCGGGGAUGACGGUAACGGAAGAAGAAGCACCGGCUAACUACGUG
rnacentral:rRNA from 1 species